AACUUGCGCAUCAACCUUUCAUCCGGUAGAGGGCGAUAGAGCACCAAAAUGCAGUUGGACCAGGACAGGAGACUCUGAGGCCUUGUUCCUGGCUUGCCUUUCCUCAUGUUUCAGGUUAUCCAUGAAAUCACAAGAAUCUAAGACGUCUGAAGGGCGGAGAAUGAGAUGAUUGGCCAUCUUUGCGUUUUGUCGUUCAAGAGGCAGGGCUGUCAGAGAAAGCUGUCCUUUUAGGGACAUAAUUGAGGCGGGCAGGACGGCAUGUGUGGGCGUGAUAGGUCGAUUGUGUCAGAGAAAGCAAGAUUGACAGGAGUGACAGCUCCAUUUAUUGGCUGCUAGAGUCUAGUCAGCAAAAGGGCAUUCAGGGCCACUGGCUGGCUCUGCUGGCGGCCUGUGCAGUCGGCGCCUGUAAUGCAUGAAGCCAUGGAGUCAUGGUAAACAGCAUAUUUCGUACAGGAAUUUUAUCCAACAUGGAGGAUGAAGAGAUUUCUCCUGGAGAGUUCUGGGAACUCUGUGUAUGUGAUUUCUGAUAAAAUAAUCCUGCAGUUGUAACUUUGGUCAAAAGUCCCCUGUAAUUGUUGCACUUGGCUAAUGAAUGUCUAUGACAAUAUUUAACUCACAAUUUUGGCUUCUUUGCACACACAUAAUCAUCCACACACAGGCACAGAUAUACACACAUCAAACAAAAAUCGUUCUUUUAUAUAUGUUUGCAUAACCUUUCCAUCAAACAAAGGUGAAAGAAAAUAAACACUAUCCAGAGGAAAUGUCCUUCUAAAGGAAACAUGCUCACUUGGUGUUAUAGCAUGCUUUGGUACUAAAAUAUUUGGGUUUCAGUUUUUUAGAAAUGUUGUCGUCCAGAGGGUUGCGACCUCAAAAUGUUAAAUCUAGAGUUGUAGAGAUGCUUAGUGAAAACUGAAGAGAGACUGCGCCUAAUGGAAAAUGUAAGUAUUUUUUUCCAACUGGCCGUAUAGUCAAUACUGUAUAGGAAAGGUUUCACACCAUCACACUACGAUUGAGCAGUGUCCUUCAGACUAAUGAAAGCAGGCAAUUCAUGUACUUAGAAAAAGGCCACAGAAAGUACCACCUAAUAUCCUAAAGCUGUCAUGCUCAGAGAAUCACUUAAUAAGGCACAUAAUCGUAAGAGGCGGCCAAGACCUCCGAUGACACUAAAUCAAUUGGCAGACGGUAACUCCUCAGGCGGGCCGUGGUACCUAAGCUCUGAGUUAUGACUUUCGGGGUGCCCCAGGGCUCAAUACCCGGCCCACUCACACUUCUCUCCGUCCCAACUUUACCCUCUGGACUUAAUUCAUUUUUCCCUUGCUGGAUCUGACAGGUUGCGUGUUACUUGGCGCCUUUCAAGUCGCCGGGCCAGCAGUAUGAUUAAGGGAGAUGGAGGAGGAUUAAUGGAAAAAUACAGGAACUGCAAGGAACGGUGUUGACCUAGAGGGAAGAACCUUACGUUAAUUCUUAACAUGCCGUUUGUUUCUGGCAGGGAAAGAUAAAAGGUUAAAUGUCUCAAGAAACCGUAAGUACGUCAGAAGUGUUUAUUUGGUUUGUCCAGGCGUAUAUUGAAACGGUUGUUUGCGAAGGAAAUUAAAAUUAUAGUACUGCAUGACCAAGCUAUUUGCUGUGGAGGUCUUGCUUAAUCAUUUCCAUAGCUCAUGUUGUCUUUGGUGUCAAAUCCCAUCUGCAGAUGAUACCACUAAAGGAUGAAUGGCAAUCAGAUGUUAGUUGUUUUUUGAACAGAGUUGGAGAGGGUUUUCGUACAGUAAUCAUGAGAAAAUGCUGUGCCCAGAAUUGAAUUCGCCACAAAGAACACUUAAUCCCUGUCACUUCUCCAUCUUAACCAGCAUGCAUCUAUUGUUUGCUUUGUGCUCAUCCCGACAAGAAGACGUUAAACGACCAGUAGAGGUUUUCCAGUUUAGCUUCCCACAUUCUCCUCACUAAUCAAGAGCUGCCUCGCAAUAACGAUAAAUCUCUCAUUUUGACGUGCGGCAUAAAUAAAGCAAACAGGCCUUGGUUUGAUUACCCAGACUCCCCGUGAACAGACGGGCAUUUGAGUGGCUCUGCUAUUUAUCAACCUGGAUCUCCCUUCCUCUCAAUCUCUCCAGCACUCAAAAAACGCCGUCACUGAUUGCGUUUAAUGUCUAACACAUGGCCUGGCCAAGCAUUCCCACUGCUGCCCGGGGAGGUGUUUGGACUGGUUAAGAGUACUGUGUUUGCGGCCAAAGACUUGGGUUGUGAAACCGAAAGGUUCUGGCAACGCGGCAGAAUUUCGAGUAUAGCUCUUGGGAUUCGAAUGUGGUUGCCUCUGUGGUUAGCGGACAGAGUUUCUACUCUUGGAAUCUUGCAGAAGCAUCCAAACGGGAAAGAAAUGGCAUAGCAGCAAUUACUUAUUAUCCUGAGGAGUGUUCCUCACUUCAGUGCUUUACCUCUCUCUCUAUCUCUCUCUCACUCUUUCUUUUUCUCCUUCAUCCAUUCAGCACUUCUCCCUAUUUGCCGGCUGCCUGGGGUCACAUUUAACCUGGAAGUGCUCUGAUUGAGCCGGGGGUCACUUCACGGGCCCCCAAAUUGCCUGCACCCAUCCGUCACUGUCAGGCCAUUAUUACUGCUAUUAUCAUCAAAGUCACAGUCUGAAUUAUAGCGCAUGCAAAAGCUGCGCCGCUCGGACUUAACGGCGACCUGAGCCAGGAUGACAGCGAAAAGGGUUGAGACCUUGCCGAUGACAUCACUCUAAUCCCUCAAAGGCAGAAAGGGCUGAUGCUGAACAGAACGGUGUUCUGGGAGAAAGUUUGCUGGUUGCACAGCUUCAUGUCAUCUUGAAACUCUCAGAUUCAUGUUAACAGAUGACCGUAGACCAGAUCUGGAUCGGCUGGUG